UUCUCAGUUUUCAUGCCUGUGGAGUUUAUUAUAUGGACGUGGUGACAGUGUAAAAACACCAUGCUCUUCUGAUUUUCAAACCAACCUUCUGAGCCGUUUUAACAUUAGAGUCUAUGGAAGAGUUGGAGGGAGGAGGCUGUGCAUUGGUGACAUUUAUGAAAGAACCAUAACACCUAGUACAAUAGUAAACACAUUGGAUGAAAGAGGACAGCCAUGGCUACGUUUUGAGGGUAAAAUCAUACCUGUAGAGCAAACGCUGCGGACACAGCAGCAGUUUUAAAAAAUAUUUUAAGAUUAAUUUUUUUGCUCCUCUCACUCUAGCAGUUGAGCUGCCUCACUCUAGCCCCAACAUUCCGUCCCAUACACACCCAUUAUAAACUCUGAAACGGGUGAAAAAACAUCAUGAAACUUAAACUGGAACUGAAGAAAAAGUAUAAUAGAUAUUGAAAAGAUAAAUACAAGUUGAAUAGUUGAAUGUCUUGUCUUCGUUUUAAAGUUUGAAUGGUGGCUCUAUGUCAAUGUAUGUGGAAGUAGUAAGAGUUUAAAAAUGAGUAAGUUGAAUGAGGAUUUGAAGGGUCUCCCCAUUGAAAUACAUUAUAAAUUUUUGUUGAAAAAAGUUGAAUAAAAUUAAAAAUAUAAAUGUUAAAAAUGAGAAAAAUAGAAGCAAUGUUGUCCAAAAGAAUAGGAAUCUAACGGUGUUUGAAUGGUUUUUCUAAGUUGAACGGUUUUGAAGGAGUAGGCUUUCAAAAAACGUACGGAAUAGAUAAUAAUAAAAUAGAACUAGAAAGUGCAUUUUCUGAAGAAACUGCAGUGUGAAUGCUUGAAUCUGAAUGUAUGCACUGAAAUGAAUUAAUUACUGAAUUUAAGUUAAAAAUUUUGAAUGAGAUAAAAAAGAAAAACAAAUUUAACCUGAAAACAAAAGUGCUGAACUGCUAAAAGCUGAAGGUUACACAGAAGAAGAAGUUGGAAAAAAGCUGAAAAUGUUUUAAUUGUAAAUUAGAAAACCCUAAGAAAUGAGAAAAGAAAAUUUAGAGUCAGAAAACAUCGAAUGAAUAUUAAAAGUUCAUAUUCUUUGAAUCACUGAAUGACUAAAAUGUGAUCCCUCCACUUGGAUCCACACAGUUUAAAAAGUUUACAUCUCUGAGCUUUGAAAGACAAGAUGUUGGAAAGAGAACAACGUUUUGAGGGUAAAAUGAUGGCUGUAACACUGUGGACACAGCAGCAGUUGAAAGAGAAGUGUUUAAGAUGAAUCUUGGCAGAGUGGCAGAGAGAGCUCGUUAAGCAGGCAG
ensembl:lncRNA